GUCUAUUUUUGGUUGGAAAAAUCAUGGCACGAUCUAUGACCAUAGUCGUACUAACCAUAAUGGCCCUCACAAAUAUCUAUAGUCAAAACAUUACUUAGUCACGGGUGACCCCUACAGAUAUUUGUGUUACGACUCUAGUAAGAGAGUACGCCGUCAUCCACUAGGAGCAGUCCUCUUAUGUCUUUUUAGACCAGACAGGGGAGGGAGAAAUAGAUACCCUAAAGGAUAAGGGGAACAU
rnacentral:lncRNA from 1 species